rfam:Botryobasidium botryosum FD-172 SS1 unplaced genomic scaffold BOTBOscaffold_63, whole genome shotgun sequence.
UCUCUUGUGCUCGGGCACGCGCUAUCGCCAGUGAGGUUCCUACCGAGGCAUAGCCAUUUGCUGAUUGCAAAUUCACAAUCCGUCUACGUGCUGCGGCUUACGCUGUAUGCCAAUUUUUGGUCCCCUAUUGGGG